GCCUGACGCGGAGGGGAGCUGCGCUGCGAGCGGCAGGUACUGCCCGGGACGCCAUGUUGUGAGAGGAAGUAGAGAGGCUCGCUCCUGUGUGUGUGUGUGUAUAUAUGUGUGAGUGAGAGCGGGAGCUGCGCUGGAGCGGCACACUCUAUUAACCCGCUACCGGACUACCGACAGAGCGGACGGCCAGCCCAGAGAUCCCGGGCCGUUCGCUGCUCCGCUCCGACCGUUACGGGAACCCCCCGGGCGCUGCGCUCUGCUCACUGUGGGGAAGAUGCCGCUGGCACAGCUGGCAGACCCGUGGCAGAAACUGCCCGUCCAGAAAGUGGAGAGCGAGG